UACGAAGGGGGCUAGCGUUGUUCGGAAUUACUGGGCGUAAAGCGCACGUAGGCGGAUAUUUAAGUCAGGGGUGAAAUCCCGCAGCUCAACUGCGGAACUGCCUUUGAUACUGGGUAUCUCGAGUAUGGAAGAGGUGAGUGGAAUUCCGAGUGUAGAGGUGAAAUUCGUAGAUAUUCGGAGGAACACCAGUGGCGAAGGCGGCUCACUGGUCCAUUACUGACGCUGAGAUGCGAAAGCGUGUGGAGCAUACCGCAUCAGAUGGCCGUGUAGUCC
rnacentral:rRNA from 1 species